rnacentral:rRNA from 1 species
GACGAACGCUGGCGGCGUGCUUAACACAUGCAAGUCGAACGGAAAGGCCUGCUUUCCCUUGUGGAUUGCGGGUACUCGAGUGGCGAACGGGUGAGUAACACGUGAGUGAUCUGCCCCCAACUUGGGUAUAAGCCUGGGAAACUGGGUCUAAUUCCCGAUAGGACUGCAGGGUGGUGCCUGUGGUGGAAAACGAUUUUCUAGUGGUUGGGGAUGAGCUCGCGGCCUAUCAGCUUGUUGGUGGGGUAAUGGCCUACCAAGGCGGCGACGGGUAGCCGGCCUGGGAGGGUGGACGGCCACAUUGGGACUGAGAUACGGCCCAGACCCCUACGGGAGGCAGCAGUGGGGAAUAUUGCACAAUGGGCGGAAGCCUGAUGCAGCGACGCCGCGUGGGGGAUGACGGCCUUCGGGUUGUAAACUCCUUUCGACCGCGAGGAAGCCACCUGGUUGGAAGGGUGGUGACGGUAGUGGUAGAAGAAGCACCGGCUAACUACGUG